rnacentral:rRNA from 1 species
CAAUAGCGUAUAUUAAACCGGUUGCGGUUAAAAAGCUCGUAGUUGGAUUUCUGUCAAGUACAACUGGUCCGCCCUCCGGGUGAGCACAUAGUUUGGUCUUGGCAUCUUGCUGGAAACUGUUGCUGCACUUGGUUGUGUGGCGCAGCAUCCAGCACUUUCACUUUGAGGAAAUUGGAGUGUUUCAAGCAGGCACAUGCCUUUGGACACAGUAGCAUGGAAUAAUUAGAUUGGGCUUUUGCUCCAAUUUGUCGGUUUCUGGAGCUGAGGUGAGAAUUAAUGGGGAUUGUUGGGGGCAUCCGAAUUUAGCCGUCAGAGGUGAAAUUCUUGGAUCUGCUAAAGACGGACAACUGCGAAAGCGUUUGCCCAGGAUGUUUUCAUUGA